UUCGGAUGUGAAGAUCGCUGC
rnacentral:miRNA from 1 species